GAUGAACGCUGGCGGCGUGCCUAAUACAUGCAAGUCGAGCGAAUGGAUUAAGAGCUUGCUCUUAUGAAGUUAGCGGCGGACGGGUGAGUAACACGUGGGUAACCUGCCCAUAAGACUGGGAUAACUCCGGGAAACCGGGGCUAAUACCGGAUACUAUUUUGAACUGCAUGGUUCAAAAUUGAAAGGCGGCUUCGGCUGUCACUUAUGGCUGGACCCGCGUCGCAUUAGCUAGUUGGUGGGGUAACGGCUCACCAAGGCAACGAUGCGUAGCCGACCUGAGAGGGUGAUCGGCCACACUGGGACGGAGACACGGCCCAGACUCCUACGGGAGGCAGCAGUAGGGAAUCUUCCGCAAUGGACGAAAGUCUGACGGAGCAACGCCGCGUGAGUGAUGAAGGCUUUCGGGUCGUAAAACUCUGUUGUUAGGGAAGAACAAGUGCUAGUUGAAUAAGCUGGCACCUUGACGGUACCUAACCAGAAAGCCACGGCUAACUACGUGCCAGCCGCCGCAGUAA
rnacentral:rRNA from 1 species